GAUGAACGCUGGCGGCGUGCUUAACACAUGCAAGUCGAACGAAGAAGGUUGGAAUGAGAGCUUCGGCAGGAUUUCUUUCCAUCUUAGUGGCGGACGGGUGAGUAACGUGUGGGCAACCUGCCCUGUACUGGGGAAUAAUCAUUGGAAACGAUGACUAAUACCGCAUGUGGUCCUCGGAAGGCAUCUUCUGAGGAAGAAAGGAUUUAUUCGGUACAGGAUGGGCCCGCAUCUGAUUAGCUAGUUGGUGAGAUAACAGCCCACCAAGGCGACGAUCAGUAGCCGACCUGAGAGGGUGAUCGGCCACAUUGGGACUGAGACACGGCCCAAACUCCUACGGGAGGCAGCAGUGGGGAAUAUUGCACAAUGGGCGAAAGCCUGAUGCAGCAACGCCGCGUGAAGGAUGAAGGGUUUCGGCUCGUAAACUUCUAUCAAUAGGGAAGAAACAAAUGACGGUACCUAAAUAAGAAGCCCCGGCUAACUACGUGCCAGCAGCCGCGGUAAUACGUAGGGGGCAAGCGUUAUCCGGAAUUACUGGGUGUAAAGGGAGCGUAGGCGGCAUGGUAAGCCAGAUGUGAAAGCCUUGGGCUUAACCCGAGGAUUGCAUUUGGAACUAUCAAGCUAGAGUACAGGAGAGGAAAGCGGAAUUCCUAGUGUAGCGGUGAAAUGCGUAGAUAUUAGGAAGAACACCAGUGGCGAAGGCGGCUUUCUGGACUGAAACUGACGCUGAGGCUCGAAAGCGUGGGGAGCAAACAGG
rnacentral:rRNA from 1 species